GCUGGGCGCGGUGGCGGGUGCCUGUAAUCCCAGCUACUCGGGAGGCUGAGGCAGGAGAAUCGCUUGAGCCUGGGAGACGGAGGUUGCAGUGAGCUGAGACUGUGCCACUGCACUCCAGCCUGGGUGACAGAGCGAGAUCCUAUCUCCA
rfam:Gorilla gorilla gorilla genomic chromosome, chr15, whole genome shotgun sequence